CAGCAAUUCACAGCAGCCGCCAGUUCGGUUCACCCUAUUCCGCGCUCCUAAAUUAAUCUCCCAGGAUUAGACUCUGUGUGCUGGUAACACUCCUGGGGCACUUUAUUUACACAUUAAUAAUAAUAAGAAUAAUAAGAAGAGAAAAGCGGGACAAGUUCUGGCAACUUCCAAUAACGGUCUGAAAUAAAAGCAGGAGGCAGCUCCUUGGUGUCUGGAGGUAAUUCCGUCCACUCGUGUCGGGGUUCAGCCUCUCCUUUCCAGGCUCUGGCCACAUGUGACACUUCACGCAUACAACUUGUUCCAGCGAAGGCCCCCACGUGCCUACCACGUCCCCAGUGCUCCCCACUCAAAC
rnacentral:lncRNA from 1 species